rnacentral:tRNA from 1 species
ACUUUAAUAGCUUACAUUUUAGAGCAUGAUAUUGAAGAUAUUAAGGAGAUUAUUGAAUCUUAAAGUA